UAAUAAAUUUAUUUACAGAGAGUUGACCCAGAACAUUGCAUUGGACCAAAGGUCCACCCUGUAGCCAAGCCGAUCUGACCCUAUAUAGCUAUUACACUGUUGAUCAUGCAGAUAAAAUAAAUUAAAUUAUACAUAUGUAGGAAAUAUUUCCCCAGCCUGCAGGGUGAAUAGAUUCCUAUACGUAUUUGAUCAGAUUAUUAAAGAUGCAGUAAAGUCCAUUCUGCUCAUCAGUUCUGCUCAUAACAAAGGGAGACCCACAGAUAUAAACAUGCAUUGCCCAAAUUUUGCAUCUUUCGAACUUUUUUG
rnacentral:lncRNA from 1 species